AUUGAACGCUGGCGGCAUGCUUUACACAUGCAAGUCGAACGGUAACAGGCCUUCGGGUGCUGACGAGUGGCGAACGGGUGAGUAAUGCAUCGGAACGUGCCCAGAGGUGGGGGAUAACGCAGCGAAAGCUGUGCUAAUACCGCAUGUGAUCUGAGGAUGAAAGCGGGGGACCAGGCAGCAAUGUUUGGCCUCGCGCCUUUGGAGCGGCCGAUGUCAGAUUAGGUAGUUGGUGGGGUAAAGGCCUACCCAGCCGACGAUCUGUAGCUGGUCUGAGAGGACGACCGGCCGCACUGGGACUGAGACACGGCCCAGACUCCUACGGGGGGCAGCAGUGGGGAAUUUUGGACAAUGGGCGCAAGCCUGAUCCAGCAAUGCCGCGUGCGGGAAGAAGGCCUUCGGGUUGUAAACCGCUUUUGUACGGAACGAAAAGGCUCUGGCUAAUACCUGGGGCUGAUGACGGUACCGUAAGAAUAAGCACCGGCUAACUACGUG
rnacentral:rRNA from 1 species